UGUAGUGUGCCAUAGUGGUUUUAGUGCUGAAUUGCCACUCUGGAGACCAGGGUUCGAUUCCCAGCUUGGCCA